rnacentral:misc_RNA from 1 species
GAUGAAGAACGCAGCGAAAUGCGAUAAGUAAUGCGAAUUGCAGAAUUUCCGUGAGUCAUCGAAUCUUUGAACGCACAUUGCGCCCACUGGUAUUCCGGUGGGCAUGCCUGUUCGAGCGUCAUUAUCCUCCCUCAAACCCCGGGUUUGGUGUUGGACCGAAGUUGUGUGAACAAUUGGUCUAAAAGACAAUGACGGCGUCCGUGGGACCCUCGGUGCAACGAGCUUUUAGGAGCACGCGCCGAGUUGCAAGGACCUUCCGGGCCGGUCUCCUUUUACUAUUUUACAAGGUUGACCUCGGAUCAGGUAGGAAUGCCCGCUGAACUUAAGCAUAUCAAUAAGCGGAGGA